CUUGUACUCCCUCCGUCCAAAAAUACUUGCCAUUGAAAUGGAUGUAUCUAGAUGUAUUUUAGUUCUAGACACAUCCAUUUUGAUGACAAGUAAUUCUGGACGGAGGGAGUACUUG
rnacentral:pre_miRNA from 1 species